rnacentral:rRNA from 1 species
UACGGAGGGUGCGAGCGUUGUCCGGAAUCACUGGGCGUAAAGGGCGCGUAGGCGGCGCGGGAAGUCAUCGGUGAAAGUUCAGGGCUCAACUCUGAAUCGGCCGGUGAUACUCUCGUGCUCGAGCACUGUAGAGGCAGGUGGAAUUCCGGGUGUAGCGGUGGAAUGCGUAGAGAUCCGGAAGAACACCGGUGGCAAAGGCGGCCUGCUGGGCAGUAGCUGACGCUGAUGCGCGACAGCGUGGGGAGCAAACAGG